GAAGGCAGCACUCGGGACAGUCUCCACCAUGGCCUGGGCCCCUCUGCUCCUCACCCUCCUGGCUCACUGCACAGGGUCCUGGGCCCAGUCUGGGCUGACUCAGCCGCCCUCGGUGUCUGGAGCCCCGGGGCAGAGGGUCACCAUCUCUUGCAGCAACAUCCAGGGUAGUUAUGUGCACUGGCACCAGCAGCUCCCAGGAACGGCCCCCAGACUCCUCAUCUAUGUUAAUAGUGACAGACCCUCAGGGGUCCCUGCCCGAUUCUCUGGCUCCAAGUCUGGCAGCUCGGCCUCCCUGACCAUCACAGGGCUCCAGGCUGAGGACGAGGCUGACUAUUAUUGCCAGUCCUAUGACAGCAGCCUGAAUUCAGGAGCAGUUUUCCCCGGGGGACAUUCAUGGACUUGCAUUCUCACUGUUGCCACCUGCUCACCCUUGUCUGGUCCACAAAACCCGCCUCCUCCGUCCUACAAGCUGCAGGUGCAGAGCUCCUUCUGGGUUCCAAGGUCUAACUCCCGCAGUUACACCCCCUCCCCAGCCCGGACAGGUGCCCUUAUCCCCAUUUUACUGAUAUGA